AAAGCACUCCGUAACCGCGGAGAUUCAUCUGUCAGCAGUCUCUGUGCUAUAUAUGGGUAAGCUUCAUCCACUAUGGCAAAAUCAGAGUUCCCCACCAGUGCAAUCCCCUCCAGCACGCCUAUUGCUCGAAUUAUUAAAGCAAAAUAGGGUGGUAUUCUAAAUGGAUAAUCAAAUGUUAUUUGUGCCAAAUCUGAUGCCAGCUCCUGAAAGUUAAGAUUUUUUGCUCCCCCACCUUCAAGUGCCUGGUCAAAAACCUUGGCAAGUACAGGCAAAAUGGGUUGCAAAUUGACCCCAUCGGGAAUGAAACCUAAUUUCACAAAGUCCUUGACUAUGGCACCAUAAUCUCGAUGAAUAAGGUGAGCUAUGGCUUCG
rnacentral:misc_RNA from 1 species